CUUUUGGAGAGUUUGAUCCUGGCUCAGGACGAACGCUGGCGGCGUGCCUAAUACAUGCAAGUCGAGCGAAUCAGAUGGGAGC
rnacentral:rRNA from 1 species